CUUCUGGCGUUCCCUGCGAGCUCGUAGAUCCCUCCUCCUCCUGCUCUCCUCUGGUGGGGUGGGAGACCAGUGGCUCCUCGUGCAAAGCUGACAGCCACGUGCGGCACCUCUAUGCACUUACUGUGCAUCUGGGAUGGCACCCCCUGCCCUGAGGGCCCUGCAGAGUCACACCCUUCCUGCAGCUGCCCCCCCCCAAGCCAUUAAGCCACUCACAAAUCCUGCCCCAACACCCCCACAGACCCCAAAAUGCCUCCAAGCCCUGCUGCAACAUUGUCACUGACUCUAGACCUUCCCCUAGACUCUGUUCCAAAGCCCCAAACAGUCCUAAAACCACUCCCAGACACAGUCCCCACAGCAGUGAGGAGUUCUAAUAAAGAUGGGGUGCGAUCUGUGUCUCCCCCUUGACUCAGUCCCACUUCAGAGAAAAGGGCGUUUACAGCACUUCCUGGUGGAGAGUGUUGACGGGUGGAUGCACAGAUGACAGACAGAUUUUUUUCUCUUGUCUUCCGAGCCACCUCUCGGAAGCCUCUGUACGUGCACGAUGUGGCUGAUCUGGGAUAAUAGUGCUGUGCACUAUGCUGAAGGAGAACGUUACUGUAAAAUGGCAGGCUAAGGACUCUCCUAAAAAAAUAAAAGGCUCAGGAAAAGCCUAAGAGAACACCAAUGGGCUCUGGGAAGCCCCAGUGAUGCUAGAGAAAACAGCAUGGCUUUUAGGCACCUCCUCGGAGCAGGAAAAAUGUCUUACUCCAGCCUGCAGGACAACGGGUACUAUUAAUUUACCACCUUUAAUUACCACAAGCGUUGUGAAAGCAGAAGGGACAGGAGAGAAGAUGCGUGGAGAAGCGUGUCGUGGGCUGUACGUAAAGUUUAAACAAGCAACCGUCCCCUCUUAAAAUAGAAACAGUUUAGUCCUAAGUAACAGAUGAAGGUAGCUUUGAGUAACGUGGAGAGAAGCGGUUACGUCAGUCACACUGAAAGCCUCGGAGCAGCGGUCCAAAACUCUGAUGCCCUCGCGACCUCGUCAGUCUUUUUGGUUUGUUUGGCAGGGCAGUUAGUUAUUUUGGCCUCCCAGAAGCAGCACCGAGGACUGAGUAACCCGUUCCUACCCCGUGGCUAUCGUUAACUGUAUCUGCCUUAGCGUUGCUUUGGUUGUUGCUAUUUUGUUUUGUUAUCGUACGUGCAUAUAUGGAAAGGGAAAGAUAUAAUGCUUACUUUUUUAGAUUGAUUGCUGUGGCUGAAGCUGAAGAGACUAAAAAGUGUGAGCAAGCUGAAGUAAUAAAAUUGAAUGGAACCGGGUGAAAACUGUCUCCCUCUGCCAGCAAAAGGGAAAGCCCGUUCCUCCUGGCGAGGAAGGAUCGCUGUUAAUAGUGAUCCGAAUGAUAGAUCACCAACAUAUAAGGGAAGGUCUGUACACGUUACAAAAAGUAUGCUGCGUACAUUCAUUUCUGUGCGUGUGACUUUACGUGUCUGUGAAGCAUCGUACUUUAAGAGCUACGAGACAGCGAAUUAUCAUCUUGGAGGAAUGGUGGUCAGGCAACCAGAGUUACUGAGGAGAAAGUGAGAGUGAGAGAGCGAGAGAGAGAAAUGUCUGAAGUGUCAAAUUAAGAGAUCAAUUUCAGGAUGGCUCAAUUAGCGCAACUGCCGGUGUAGUUACCUGGCAAUGGUAUUUGGGGAAACAAGAAGAUGGUGGAUAGAAGAAAAGUUAAAGCCUUGUGGAAUUAAGGCUCCUUCUCGUCGGUUCCAACUUGGAGCAAUUUUAGGAGGAUUUAAUUUCCUCCGGGAGCGUUAACGUGGCUUUGCCGGUAUCAGUCGGGAACGGAGCUGGAACAAGGAACGCGACGCUGCUUUCACUAAACUGGGAGAAGUGGCUGUAAUGCCUCCUGCCCUCAAAUUCCCAGGACAAGGUAAGCCUUUUUCGGUAAUGCUUUCCACAUCUGCUGACUGCGUGGGAGCAGCACCGCUGGAAAACGGCGGUAAAGGAAAGCGGGUGCCAGUCGCCUCACCUUUAUGUCCCCUUUGGGGCUGGAACAAAAAUUCUCUGGCUGUGAGAAAGACUGUUUAGCAGCGAUCUGGGCUGUAACCGUCUUUGAGACUUUUACCUUUGAUCGCACAGGGGCCAUCCAGUCUGUUCAGUUCCCUCUAAAGUAAUCACGUCAGGGAAAUGAAGAGACAGCGGAGUAUCAUCUAUCCGAGUGGCGCAGUGGGUGCUGAUCUUAACGAGAGGGGGCAGGGGGGUGGUUGCUGUGCAAGUGUUACAAGCAGUGGCUCUUCUUGUGCGUGUCUGAAUUGAUGGAGGGGCAGAGCACGGUUGUGCCAAAAAUGCGGACGCAGAAGGUUUCUGAAAGAUUACUCUCUAGCAGCUACUUAGUCUGACUUCCCUUUCGCGGCAAGCCCCACUGUUGUCGUCGCUCCCAAAGCAGGGGUUGGGGGAAGCGGUACUUGUGGCUUGCGUAUUCUCAUUUCCUUGCUUGUGUGCGUAUUAGAUACGCUUUUGUGCUUAUAAACCACUUUGGAUUCUUAUGGUUUUCUGCAGAGCUUUGAUUUUUUUUCUCUCUUUUCCUUGUUUUCUUUCUUUCUUUGCUCUAUACUUUUGUAGGGGGGUGGAUUUUACUAUGCCUCCAUCAACGAGCGCUGGCUGGCAAAGUUGCUGUGUCCCAACGGAGACUCUUAGGCGAGACGGAGGAGUUGAGAUCCGCAGCCAGCCAGAAGAACGUCACCCGGGAGGGGUUGCUAGCCUCGAGCUAUAGGUGCUGGCAUUCAGAACCUCGGGGAACGACUGUAUGCUGCCACGAAGAACUACAGGCUACCCCUGCCCUCAGACCUUUGUAAGUUGUCAUGUGCCAAGAGCGGCCAGGAGAAUCCAAACGCCAGCGGAAAGGUUCUCUGCCUGGUCUUGACGAGGAGCCUUCGGCUGUAGGAAGGUUGGCCGCGUCCUUAUCGGACUUGUUACUGUCCUGAGGGCCGGCAACUCGAAGAGGAGCAGCUCAGCCUGUUUUGUUGAUUCUGGUGAUACUGUUUUGAGGAAGCGCGUAAGUACAGAAGGGGUCUGGGAGGGUUUUCAAACAAGACGGGAAAGAGCAAGGAAGAUUUGAGAGCGUGGCAAAACUAGGUGCCGCAGGUACUGAAGUUGUUAAGGGCAUUUGUCCAUAAUCUGCCGCACAACGUCUCCAGGUCCUGCUGUUUCUGAAACAGGUUUUUUGUGUGUGUGUAAACUAAAGGUGUUGUUAAUUGCUGCUCUUGGUUCCGUCUGUUGCAGAGCGCGCUCUGCCAGGGGGCAUGUGGUGGUGGACACCUGUAUUCCUCUGGACUCUUCUUAACACGGUUAUCGUGAGCAAUGAAUGCGUGAUUUCAGUAACUGGCAAAAUGCAGCCUUGCCCUCACAGCCCAAGGGACAGAAUUAAGAUGCAGAUAAACCAUAUUAAGAUGCUGUUGUUGAAAGCUUUAAGGAUUCCUCCCCCACCCCCCGAAGUAUCCUUUUUUUCCUUUUUGGUUUAUCAUAGUAUGUACAUGCUGUGAAUCACUUUGAGACUGUUAAACAUCUGUUUUAUCAUUUCAUUCCUGUUUAACAAGCACCAUCUACUAUUAGGCUUUCAGGAAUGCAGUGAGCACAGAACUACGUGUAUUUUGAGAUGUGCCUUUCCAGAGGUGGUUUGGCUGGGUGGGGCAGGAUCGGUCCAACCCUUUGAGGCUACCUCUACUCUGUUUAAUUUCAUUUUGAAUCUCUUCCUUCCUUUGCUUUCUCAUAGGGCCUGUCUGUCAGCUAACAAAUAAAGACGACGGAAUGGCCCAUCCACAUAGGAGAGAGCUGACAUAGGAGAACUGAUAUAUGGUAAAUGUAAACGCCCUAGACCUCUUGUACGUCACAGGCUUUUCUUUAGAUCUGUGCGUUCAAAUCUAUAGUUCCGCAUUCGGAACAUGGCAUUUGCCCAAGUAUCUAAUUCCUUUCUGUCGUGUGGAAGCCACUGCACGGCUGCCAGUUUCUACAACAGGUUAUCGGAGAGAAUGGGAAUGCUGCAUUUCAACUCAUGACUGCAAAAGAGGCUCCUUUUUGUCCAGUUUCAGAAUUAUGACCUACUUCAUCGUUCUGCUUUGACAGAACGUUGUUUCCCAGCAGGAAUGGUAGUGCUUUAACCGUGCAACGGUUGAAACCGGUAAUGUGUAGGCCAGUGCAGUUAUGCUGUACCUUUCUUUGAUAUGCAUGUCAUCCUUGUAUCAGGCUUCUGGGAAAAUAAACGGUAAACAGAGUUCCGGAAGGUGCGUCUUUAAAUAGGUGGUAGAUCUAGAGGCGUGUCUGAAUUCCAAGUGGCUUGUAACUUCGUAUCUGUCUUCAGCAUAUACUUUUCUGUCGCCCUUAUUCCAGGCUUACCUCGGACAAUCUGUAUCACUGCGGUGUAUUGCGUUUCACAGGCAGCGAUAUAUUCAGCGAGAACAUGAGAACUCCUGCUCUGCAGCGGGCUCUGUAAUCGAUGACCACGGGAUCCAUGCUCCGGGCCGGUCACUUUAGGCCUUUGUGCAGAGUAUUCUUUCUAGUCUCACGCCUCAUGUGAUCCUCUCCUUCCGCUGUUUUCCCAAGGGAUUGGAAAUGCUUCUGGUAAGUCCUGUAGUUUCCUAAAUUUUCCACUGUGUCCUCGCUGGUAUUGGAUACCAUUAUAGCAGAGAGAGGCAGCCUACGUAUGCACAAGGAAAGUUGAGGCACAAAGAAGUCGCCUCUUUGGCCCACCUAAUCUACUUCAGAGAGUUUUAUUUUUGACGUAGAGCUUGGGUCUUUGAGCACCAUGCACAGCAUGUGUUGGUUUCCCCGUUCUUUUAACAAGGUUAUCGAUGCCCUUCAGUUGCUUCUUCGG